rnacentral:rRNA from 1 species
AAUCUUGCACAAUGGAGGAAACUCUGAUGCAGCGAUGCCGCGUGAGUGAAGAAGGCCCUUGGGUUGUAAAGCUCUUUCGUCGGGGAAGAAAAUGACUGUACCCGAAUAAGAAGGUCCGGCUAACUUCGUGCCAGCAGCCGCGGUAAUACGAAGGGACCUAGCGUAGUUCGGAAUUACUGGGCUUAAAGAGUUCGUAGGUGGUUAAAAAAGUUGGUGGUGAAAGCCCAGAGCUUAACUCUGGAACUGCCAUCAAAACUUUUUAGCUAGAGUUUGAUAGAGGAAAGCAGAAUUUCUAGUGUAGAGGUGAAAUUCGUAGAUAUUAGAAAGAAUACCGAUUGCGAAGGCAGCUUUCUGGAUCAUUACUGACACUGAGGAACGAAAGCAUGGGUAGCGAAGAGGAUUAGAUACCCUCGUAGUCCAUGCCGUAAACGAUGUGUGUUAGAUGUUGGAAAUUUAUUUUCAGUAUCACAGCGAAAGCAAUAAACACACCGCCUGGGGAGUACGACCGCAAGGUUAAAACUCAAAUGAAUUGACGGGGACCCGCACAAGUAGUGGAGCAUGUGGUUUAAUUCGAAGAUACGCGCAGAACCUUACCAACACUUGACAUGUUCGUCGCGACUCUAAGAGAUUAGAGUUUUCGGUUCGGCCGGACGAAACACAGGUGCUGCAUGGCUGUCGUCAGCUCGUGUCGUGAGAUGUUGGGUUAAGUCCCGCAACGAGCGCAACCCUUACUUUUAGUUGCCAUCAUUUAGUUGGGCACUCUGAAAGAACUGCCAGUGAUAAGCUGGAGGAAGGUGGGGAUGACGUCAAGUCCUCAUGGCCCUUACGUGUUGGGCUACACACGUGCUACAAUGGCAUUUACAAUAGGAAGCAAGAUGGCGACAUCAAGCAAAUCCUAAAAAAAUGCCUCAGUUCGG